AGCAGCCGCGGUAAUUCCAGCUCCAAUAGCGUAUAUUAAAGUUGUUGCAGUUAAAAAGCUCGUAGUUGAAUUUCGGGAUCAGUAGGUCGGUCAUGCCUCAGGUAUGUACUGGUCUCACUGGUUCCUCCUUCCUGAUGAACCGUAAUGCCAUUAAUUUGGUGUUGCGGGGAAACUGGACUGUUACUUUGAAAAAGUUAGAGUGUUUAAAGCAGGCUAACGCUUGAAUACAUUAGCAUGGAAUAAUGAAAUAGGACGUUCGAUCCUAUUUUGUUGGUUUCUAGGAUUGACGUAAUGAUUAAUAGGGAUAGUUGGGGGCAUUAGUAUUCAAUUGUGAGAGGUGAAAUCCUUGGAUUUAUUGAAGACUAACUACUGCGAAAGCAUUUGCCAAGGACGUUUUCAUUAAUCAAGAACGAAAGUUAGGGAUCGAAGACGAUCAGAUACCGUCGUAGUCUUAACCAUAAACUAUAGACCGACUAGGGAUCGGAUGAUGUUAUUUUAAUGUACUCAUUCGCGCCUUACG
rnacentral:rRNA from 1 species